rnacentral:rRNA from 1 species
GGGGAAUAUUGCACAAUGGGCGAAAGCCUGAUGCGGCAACGCCGCGUGAGCGAUGAAGGCCUUCGGGUCGUAAAGCUUUGUCCUCAAGGAAGAUAAUGACGGUACUUGAGGAGGAAGCCCCGGCUAACUACGUGCCAGCAGCCGCGGUAAUACGUAGGGGGCUAGCGUUAUCCGGAAUUACUGGGCGUAAAGGGUGCGUAGGUGGUUUCUUAAGUCAGAGGUGAAAGGCUACGGCUCAACCGUAGUAAGCCUUUGAAACUGAGAAACUUGAGUGCAGGAGAGGAGAGUAGAAUUCCUAGUGUAGCGGUGAAAUGCGUAGAUAUUAGGAGGAAUACCAGUUGCGAAGGCGGCUCUCUGGACUGUAACUGACACUGAGGCACGAAAGCGUGGGGAGCAAAC